UGAGCAAUCUGCCCUUCUCUUUGGAAUAAGCGUUGGAAACGACGUCUAAUGCCGAAUACGACCUCCUUUCGCAUGAUCGGAGGUGGAGAGCUCCGGCGGAGAAGGAUGAGCUCGCGGCCUAUCAGCUAGUUGGUGUGGUAAUGGCCCACCAAGGCGACGACGGGUAGCCGGCCUGAGAGGGUGACCGGCCACACGUGGGACUGAGACACGGCCCAGACUCCGUACGGGAGCAG
rnacentral:rRNA from 1 species